UGGGGAAUAUUGCACAAUGGGCGCAAGCCUGAUGCAGCCAUGCCGCGUGUGUGAAGAAGGCCUUCGGGUUGUAAAGCACUUUCAGCGGGGAGGAAGGCGAUAAGGUUAAUAACCUUGUCGAUUGACGUUACCCGCAGAAGAAGCACCGGCUAACUCCGUGCCAGCAGCCGCGGUAAUACGGAGGGUGCAAGCGUUAAUCGGAAUUACUGGGCGUAAAGCGCACGCAGGCGGUCUGUCAAGUCGGAUGUGAAAUCCCCGGGCUUAACCUGGGAACUGCAUUCGAAACUGGCAGGCUAGAGUCUUGUAGAGGGGGGUAGAAUUCCAGGUGUAGCGGUGAAAUGCGUAGAGAUCUGGAGGAAUAACGGUGGCGAAGGCGGCCCCCUGGACAAAGACUGACGCUCAGGUGCGAAAGCGUGGGGAGCAAACAGG
rnacentral:rRNA from 1 species